UGGGGAAUAUUGGACAAUGGGCGAAAGCCUGAUCCAGCCAUGCCGCGUGUGUGAAGAAGGUCUUCGGAUUGUAAAGCACUUUAAGUUGGGAGGAAGGGCAUUAACCUAAUACGUUAGUGUUUUGACGUUACCGACAGAAUAAGCACCGGCUAACUCUGUGCCAGCAGCCGCGGUAAUACAGAGGGUGCAAGCGUUAAUCGGAAUUACUGGGCGUAAAGCGCGCGUAGGUGGUUUGUUAAGUUGGAUGUGAAAUCCCCGGGGUCAACCUGGGAACUGCAUUCAAAACUGACUGACUAGAGUAUGGUAGAGGGUGGUGGAAGUUCCUGUGUAGCGGUGAAAUGCGUAGAUAUAGGAAGGAACACCAGUGGCGAAGGCGACCACCUGGACUAAUACUGACACUGAGGUGCGAAAGCGUGGGGAGCAAACA
rnacentral:rRNA from 1 species